rnacentral:lncRNA from 10 species
UCUGGCUGUUCAUGGGGAAGGGGUCGUGGAAGGCCAGCAUUGCUUGUGAUAAUGGUGCCACUCCCCCGCCAUUGAACCAUCAUGUGCUAUCUAUCGACAUCUGCUUGUUUGUAUUCUUUUUUAUAAGCUGCCUGAAACCUUUGCCACCUGCAUUUGACCUGUCUCUGCCAAUUAACUGUAAACUUGAGGGUCAGGAAAACCAGACAGUCUUCUCUACAGAAUUUGAGAGCACAAUUUGUGUAAAUAGGAACUUUUUUUUUUUUCUGAGACAGGGUCUCACACUGUCGCCCAGGCUGGAGUGCAGUGGUGAGAUCACAGCUCACUGCAGCCUCAUCUUCCUGGGCUGAAGCAACUCUCCCACCUCAGCCUCCCAAUUAGCUGAAACCCCAGGAACGUGCCACCACACCUGUCUAAUAUUUAAAAUUUUUUUGUAGAAAUGGGGUCUUGUUAUGUUGCCCAGGCUUACAAAAGGAACUUGAUUCAUGGUGGUAGGUGAUGAUGUACAGUUUUUUUUUCUUUUUUUAGAGACAGGGUCUGGCUGUGUUGCCCAGGCUGGAGAGCAGUGGCACCGUCAUAGCUCACUAUAAACUCAAGCAAUCCUCCUGCCUCGCCUUGGUCUCCCAAAGUAGGCAGAUCGCUUAGAGCUGUAAACGCUGAGAAUACAGCAGUGAACCAAACAGGCAACACCUUUGCACCCAUGAAGUUUAUAUUCCUCUAAAGAGCAAAUAGAUGCCAAUCAAGUAAACAAGUUAUAUAACCAAGAUAAUUUCAGGUAAUAAAACCAGAUCAUAUACAGCUGUUUUCCUUAUAGUGCCACAAUUGGAUUUUAUUACGAGAAUAAAAUCCAAUUGUUUCAGCCUGGGUAAUGUGAUGAGACUCCAUCUCUACUACAAAUACAAAAAAAUUUAGCCAGGCAUGGUGGCUUGUGCCUGUAAUCCCAGCUACUCAGGAGGCUGAGAUGGGAGGAUCACUUGAGCCUGGGAAGUGGAGUUUGCAGUGAGACAAGAUUGCACAACUGCACUCCAGCCUGGAUGACAGAGCAAGACCCUGUCUCAAAAAACAAGAAGAAA